GUUCAUGUAGCUUAUAGCACUAAAGCAAGGCACUGAAAAUGCCUAGAUGAGUUUUUGCAACUCCAUAAACA
rnacentral:tRNA from 1 species